GGGCUGCCCAGCUGGACUUCGAGACCUUUGGCUCGUGGUCCGAGGACAGCAGGAAAGCGGGAGAAGGGGGGGGGGGUGUCGCUUAAUCCUAUGCUUGCUGGAAGAGGAAAGGCUCUGCUUUGAAGCUUAGUGUGCAGCUUGCCAAUUUAUGAACCAGCUUCUGUGGCAACCUUUCCACGGAAAUUUAACUAGCAUAUUUAAAGCGCAUCUGCCCCACCCCCAAAAAGAAGCUGUGAGAGGACCCUAGAGCCAUGCCGUAGAUUAAUCACCUCCCUGUUUUCUCCAUAUCAGACUUCUCUUACAGGGACUGAAACAUGAUUUGUUGUUUUAGUUGUUUUGGCUAGACAACAUCUCUAAAUGUAAUGGACCUUCUUCCAAGUGGGAAUAUGGAAAGGUGAUGCCUGAGACGUCAGAGCCUUUGCAAGUUCCAAGCAGAGGAAGCUUUUGGAUCUGCCUGUCCCAGAAACAAGACCUAAAGCAACCAACAAAUGUUUGUCUUAUGCAAAACAUGGCACAGAUGAGAUGAGAUGUGUGUAAAAUGCAGCUGAGCAUUUUCAGCCAGUGCCCAUGCAGUGAUUCAAGCACAGCAGAAGGUAAUCUUAAAUAAACCAACUGGUUCACGGCAUAUGUCCAAUAGUCCUGCCAAAUUGUCUUGGCCUGGGUGUAAACACAACACAUAACAUUUCUGGCAGCAGAUUUACAGCAACAACAGGCUGCCAGCAGUAGAGAUUAGCCACAAGGAUUUUUUACCUACCAGGCUUUGGGAUUUUAUCUGCACCAUUUGCUAAUGGGCAGCUACACUCAAUCGUGCUGGAUUAAGCUUUUGCAAUGUCAUGGGUUGAAGAAGAGACAGGCCAGUGAUGAAGUUUAGAACAUAACAUAUAAUUUUGUUUUCCCAGAGACUGUUGUUAAAGGAGUGGUGCAUAUCAGACAAAUGACAGAGAACCCUAUAUUCCUGACUAUUUAUCACCAUUUUGUAUAGUCCCGUCACUUUGUCAAGAACUAUCACUCUUAGGUUAGUUAGUUUGAUUAGAUGUAGACUUGAACAAUGGGCUCCACUCCUGAGGGCCACACGAUUGCAAUUAUUUUUGGACUGCAUUAAUUGGAUUGCAAAAGAUCAUGUCCUGUGCAUAAGACUUGUGGCAUCACCUUCCUUUAUCCUGAAGUUACUUUUCUAUCAGGCCUCAAGCAGCCUCCUUGCAAAGUGAACCAAACAGAAACAAAUUUUUAAAAUCACACAGGCAAUGGAGCAGAGUGUCUCCUAGACUCAUAAGCCGCUAACCCCACACCGGGGGUGUUUUUUAAAAUAUAUAUACAUAAUCAAGAGUUUAUUCCUUUAGUAGUCUUGCUGUAUUAUUGCUGCUGCUUGUAUCCUCACCUUUAUUGCAAAUUAGAAUUCCAUGAAGAUAGGAAAAUAAUACUUUUAUUUUAUUGUAACUUGGGCACAUGUAAAAGAGAACAGGUUUUGACAUUUACUGUGAGACAUUCAGGUUCAAGAAUGAGUAACUACCCCACAGUAACAAACCUGCAGGAAAAUAGAUUCAGAUUCUUCAUCCUAGCACAGCGGCAAACCUUAAAUUUCAGUGGUUCCCCAUGCGAGACCAAAAUUCAGAGCCUCCCCUUUCCACAACCAGUGUCACCAAACUGGUUGUGCACCCCUAAAUCUGCCUCUGCCUAGUGCAUCAUUUCUAAUAUUAAAUAAGUUUAGUCCUGACUCUCACUUUGCAGCUCAAUGUCUGUUGGCUGCUAAAAACCACCACCUCCAGCCAAAUCCCAUCUGCCAAAGCCAGCUACUAGUCUUGAACCAGAAAUCGUUAACAGCCCGAUCCAAGUGGCCUUCUGUAGAAAAUGCACCCCUACCACGGGUUACCAUUAGAAGGAGCUGUUGGCCUGCUUUCUUCUGUGCUUAGGUGCCACCCAGGCCAGAAGGACGUACUACUGCAGUUGAUUGCCUCUGCAAUGGUCAGGCGACGUAAGCGGCCAAUGGAGUUUUACCUGUGCAACUUGCCUGCUGACUUGAAGAUUGUUCUUGGAUUGCCUGAAUCUGCUUGCCAGCAUACCUGCUCAGCUUGCCUGCCUUGCUUCCUGCCUAUGCCUAUCAAAUGACAGCCAGCCUUCCUCACUAAGAUGUGAGCCUUCAAACCACCAGUUCUGACUCAAAAAGAUGUGCCCUAAUCAUUUAUUCAGAAGAUUACGGAGCACGAUGUCCAGAACACUUUCCAUUCACAUGCAGAAACAGCCAAGGGUGUAAACAGCCUGGCUGGUUGGCUUCCUGAAUGGCAACUGAAGCUGGUAAGUGAAGAUGGUAGACUCUAGAGCUUCACCUGUCUCAUUUGUAUGUUUCCAUCCUUGCAUAAGAAUAUAAAGAGCCUUGAUAAGUCCAACAUCCUUUUCCCACAAUGGCCAGUUAGAAGAUUUGCAGAAGCCCACAAGCACAGGACACAAAGAUAACCGCUCUCUCAACUACUGUGCCUCAGAGGAAGGCUGCCAUCUAUCACCAUCAUGACUGGUAGCCACUGCCUUCUCCAUGGAUGUAUAUAAAUCCUCUUUUAAAGCCAUCCAGGCCAGUGAACAUCGCUGCAUGUUGUGACAGGAAAUUCCCUAAAUUAAUUUUGCAGUAUGUGAAGCAUUUGGAAACCUGAUAAUUUGAAGAGGAAACUUGACCAUUUUACUCUCUUGCUGUUACUGUCCUUCGUAGGGUUCCCAAAAGUUUAUAGCUCAGCCAAUACUCUGAUCAAAUUAAGGUGACCAGAUGCAAAGGUAAAGAGAUCCUGCAUCUUUGCUGGCUGUGUAGAAGGGAGUGUUUUGGCAUGCUCAGCUUGUCACAGAAUGCUGCUGCAAAGGCAAAGGAAAACUGCAUCUGCUGAAAUCGCUUCUUUCCCAGCAGUCCCAUGCUGCUUUGUACCUGGUCACCUUAGGUCAUGUGCACAUGUGCACACACACACACACACCUCAAAUCUGCAGUGGCCUACAGCCAAAUAGCCUGGGAAUCACAUGCUGGGCAGCUCUUUUUAUUGUGGUCACCUGACUGCUCUGGUAUGCAUGGACAAAUUCCCCCAAAUAAUCACACAGCAAAGGCUGUGGGAGAUGACCUUGGGAUCUUGAGGAGGCUGGAGCUGCAGCACUAGCACACAGCAGCAGCAGCAGCAGCAGCAUUUCUGGGCUUCUGAUAUUCCUGUGCAGGGAUUACAUAAAGCACCUGACAACACACACACACCAGCCACAGGCACCUCCUGCCUGGGCAACGUUUAUACAGCUGCAGAUCUUUCACAAGAGGAAAGGAUUCUAUUUUGGGAACAGUGUUUUCAUUUGUCACACACACAUACACACAUUCAGUCACAAGGCAGGUGCUGAACACCCACAUCUAGAAGAGACUCUGGGUCUCGUUUCAGUAGCUCAGAGGUUUAGGACAUUGCCUUGGUGCAUCUCAAGAGGUCAGGCAGCCAAGCAGGGCAAAUCUCCACUUCGUCCCUCUCUACAGAGUUGGAUGAGCCAGCCUUGCAUAUUACACAGCAUCAUCAUCAUCGUCAUUAUUAAUGAGUUCAGAAAAGGGCUGCAAUGAUUAUAAUGAUAAAUGAUUAUUAUCAUUGUAGCCCUUUUCCAAACACACACACACACACACACACACACACACACACACUUACACUUAUGAAAACUAAAACAUUAAUCUAAAAGCUCAGACUUUUUUCAUCGCCACUGGAAAUAUGGCUACUACUAUUCCAAUGACUGGAAUCCAGUCUUGUGAUUAAGACACAAUAAUCACACUACAUGGGCAGCAUGCUGAGCAUGAAUCAGCAGUGUGAUGUGGUGGCACAGGAAGGCCAGGACCAUGUCAAGUUGCAUACUUCCCCAGGUUUGUGAAGUAAUGACACAACUCUGCUCAGAACAAGGAAGACUUCUUGUUCAGUUCUUGCAGUCACCGUUCCAGAAGGAUGCUGAAGAAUGGUUCAGGGUUCAAGACAGGAGGAUUAUAAGGAAGGGAAACCAUUUGAGGAAAGAGAGAGAAAAACGAACCUUCAGAAAUCUGAUGGAGCUGGUAGAUAGCCUCCCUGGACGCAGAAUUAACCAGCACCUCCAUGGACGACCGUGAGUCCAAAAUGACCCCAAGGCUGCACACCUGGUCCCUCGGGGGCACAGCUACCCUAUUCAGGACCAAGGAGUCCCCCACACCUGUCUGCCCCCUGUUCCCCAGAAACAGAACUUUUGCCUUGUUGGGCUUCAACCUCAAUCAGUUGACUGCCAUCCCUCUUCUAACCACCAUCAGAUACUCACCCAGGGGGUAGUCUGCAGAUGGUUCCAAGCCAUUUGCAGGUAGGCAGCUACCUGUGGUAGUAGUGCUGUGUAGCGUUCUAUUCCUAUCUGGUUCUUGGAACCUUCACCAGGUGACUCACCCUCUCAAUCCACAUCCCUCACUAGCCUUAGUUUGUACUCUCCUGGGGUAUUUCUCCUGGCUGGAAUAUGUCCUUGAACUCUGGUAAUAUUUCUUAAUUGCCUGGAUGGAUGGAGAACAGAGGGAGAUGCGAAGAAACUACAAAGGUACAAUUCACAUCUCUUGCUUCUGCCUGCUUCUGUCUCCAGCCCUACUCACCACUGGCAUGUGGCCAUCAGAAAGUUCUCUGAGCUUGAGGCUGCAGCCAUGACAGGAAUGGUAGCAGAACACAUGUUUUGCACAUAUAGAAGGUCCCAUUCUCAACUGUAUUGGCGAUUCUCAUGAAACCAAACUGGGAAAGACCUUGGAGGGCCACUGCCAGUCAGAACAGGCAAGACUGGGCUGAAUAGACUUCUGGUCAAUGGCAAGAAAUACACUCCUUCUUUCCUACCAUUGUGUCCACAGAAUCACAUGCUCAUGGGGACCAUUGUGCAUAGUUAUCUGCUAACCAAGUUGCACAGAUUCUUGUAAAUAAAUGAUGUCAUUUUAUUUUUUUAAAAGUUGCUCAUGCAGGGGCUGUCAGGGUCAAUUGCUUGUCACUAUUGCUUCAAUCAGUGCAAUGUUGUAGACAGGCACUGUGAGACUCACAGCAUGUAAUUUGGAUUCUUGCCCUUCAUUGCUAGUAAGAACCAGCCUAGACAAGCUUGGUGGGAAGCCUUGGUGGGAAGCCAGGGUGAUUAAUGCCUCUUUGGAGAAAGAUAGAAUUCCUCCCGUAUUCUCACUACUUAAAAAAACACCCACCAACCACCCAGCCAGGGAUGGUUGGUGGUUAAACAGGGAUGAUCUAGUCAGUUUUAGACCAGCAUCUAACUUUACCUUUUAGGAGAAGGCUGUGGAGUGUUUGAUGGCUGAGUGGCCUGUGCAUUCUUCCUCAACCCUUUUAAAUCUGGCUUUGCAGAUGGGCAGGAGACUGAGGCAGCUUUGAUUACCUUGGUGAAUUAUACCUUUUUUGAGAUCAACAGAGACCAUGUCCCCCUGUUUUUCUUGCUGGAUUUCUCUCUCUGUUUUGAUACUGUGUGUAGACAACUUUUUUAGGUCCAUGGGCACAUUUGGAUUUUUGAGCAAGUGCUAUGGGCAUCACCCCUCUGGAAACGUCUCUCCCCUCUUUCUGAGAUCAGCAACUCCUACCCGUUAGACACUGAAGGGAAGAAAGUGCAUGCAUAAAAACGUCACUUUUUAAAGGAAUCUGUAUAAACCUCAGAGCCAGUAGAAUUAAUCUGAGCCUGGAAAAACACAAAGAGCUUGAAAUGAAACAGGGAAAGGCAUCACAUUUCCAACUUCCUCCUCCUGCUCUAUGUACCGUAUUUUUCGCACCAUAGGACGCACUUUUUC